UACAGAGGGGGCAAGCGUUGUUCGGAAUUACUGGGCGUAAAGGGCGCGUAGGCGGCCUGCUAAGUCGAACGUGAAAUCCCUGGGCUCAACCCAGGAACUGCGUCCGAUACUGGUUGGCUUGAAUUCGGGAGAGGGAUGUGGAAUUCCAGGUGUAGCGGUGAAAUGCGUAGAUAUCUGGAGGAACACCGGUGGCGAAGGCGGCAUCCUGGACCGAUAUUGACGCUGAUGCGCGAAAGCCAGGGGAGCAAACGGG
rnacentral:rRNA from 1 species